UACUCCGCCGGCGACCGGCGCACGGUGCGUAACGCGUAUGCAACCUACCUUUAACAGGGGCAUAACACUGAGAAAUUGGUACUAAUUCCCCAUAACAUUCGAGAAGGCAUCUUCUUGGGUUAAAAACUCCGGUGGUUAAAGAUGGGCAUGCGUUGUAUUAGCUAGUUGGUGAGGUAACGGCUCACCAAGGCAACGAUACAUAGGGGGACUGAGAGGUUAACCCCCCACAUUGGUACUGAGACACGGACCAA
rnacentral:rRNA from 1 species